CACCCUCAGAUUCACUGUUACAGAUGAGGGUAGUGGUAAUAAAUGCAGUCAGAGAUGUGCCCCAGGGCAGCACGAGGGCUCGGAGGCAGGUCUGGGACGAUAGGGAGGGGUUCAGGAAAGCUUCCUGUUGGCCAGGAAGGUGAGGAGGGUGGAGAGGCAAGGAUGUUCCAGGGCAGAGGCCCAAACUGCAGCACUUGGGUCUGGGAAUCUAGAAGUUGUGAAGAGGGUAGGAGGUGGAGGGUGUGGUGAGAAAGGGCAUGCCUGCCAGCUUGGCAGGAGGUUUCAAUGAAUGGGUAGGGAGGCUGGUGUCUGAACCUAUGGGCUUUGGGGGCCUUGUUAGAACACGUAGACCAGUCUGGAGAGAAGGGAGCCACAGAAGGGCCUUGGACCAGAGAGGGACACAGUUCCUGUAAUGUGACCACCCUCCUCUGGCUGCAGUGUGGUGAGCUGGAAGGGAGCUGCUGGUGGAUCAGGAAGGAGGGACCAGUUAGGAGGGAGGCCCUAAGCAAGGUUGGGCUGGAGGGACAGAGGAGACCCUGCUUUGACCCAGGACCUAGCUGGAGUGACAGGUUUCUGGGUUCGUUUGUGGUUCUGCCUGCCUGCUGGUUGAGGAGUAUUCCUGCAUGAGCCAAGGGUGACUGUUUUUUAAGGUCCUGAUUUUGAGAACAUCCUUGAGAUCCGGCUGAACAGAAACUGGCCUCCUGGUGGUCCCUGGGGCAAUCUUCUAUAACACUGUGUCCACCUCCCUCUCCCACCCCCAGCUCUCCAGGAAUCUGAGGACCAAGCCCACAUCCCUGACAUGCCCCCCUUUCUUUGGAGCAUUCUGUGAACAUUCCAGACCUCCCCAAAUAGAUGGCCCAGAGGGGUGCCUCUCUGCCCCAGGCCCUUCCCCUGGACCUGACUCGGUCCUCCAGGGGACACGCAGCCAGCCUCUGCCUCCCAAGGCCUGGUUCAGGGUCAACAGCCAGAGCUGGCCAGCCAAGGAGAGCACACACACAAGGAACAACCACGCCCCUGCGACAGGCCGCACUUUAUUUGGAGUUUUCCGCCUAAACGGCUCCCAGCUGAGCCGCAUGACAUGUGCAAAAGCCCCCCAGAAAGCUGGGCCUCGCAGUGUUUGUGGUGUCUGAUUCGGCGAGCG
rnacentral:lncRNA from 1 species